AGCAGCCGCGGUAAUUCCAGCUCCAAUAGCGUAUAUUAAAGUUGUUGCAGUUAAAAAGCUCGUAGUUGAAUUUCGGGGUCAGUAGGUUGGUCGUGCCAAUGGUAUGUACUGGCUUUACUGAUUCCUCCUUCUUGAAGAACUGUAAUGUCAUUAAUUUGGUGUUGCAGGGAAACAGGACUGUUACUUUGAAAAAAUUAGAGUGUUUAAAGCAGGCUAACGCUUGAAUACAUUAGCAUGGAAUAAUGAAAUAGGACGUUCGAUCCUAUUUUGUUGGUUUCUAGGAUUGACGUAAUGAUUAAUAGGGAUAGUUGGGGGCAUUAGUAUUCAAUUGUCAGAGGUGAAAUUCUUGGAUUUAUUGAAGACUAACUACUGCGAAAGCAUUUGCCAAGGAUGUUUUCAUUAAUCAAGAACGAAAGUUAGGGGAUCGAAGACGAUCAGAUACCGUCGUAGUCUUAACCAUAAACUAUGCCGACUAGGGAUCGGAUGAUGUUAAUUUUUUAAUGACUCA
rnacentral:rRNA from 1 species